rnacentral:rRNA from 1 species
UACGAAGGGUCCAAGCGUUAUCCGGAUUUAUUGGGUUUAAAGGGUGCGUAGGCGGCGCGGUAAGUCGGGUGUGAAAUCUCGGAGCUUAACUCCGAAACUGCAUUCGAUACUGCUGUGCUUGAGGACUGGAGAGGAGACUGGAAUUUACGGUGUAGCGGUGAAAUGCGUAGAUAUCGUAAGGAAGACCAGUGGCGAAGGCGGGUCUCUGGACAGUUCCUGACGCUGAGGCACGAAGGUCAGGGGAGCAAACGGG